rnacentral:tRNA from 2 species
GCAGGCGUAGCUCAGAUGGUAGAGCGUCGGUCUCCAAAACCGAAGGUCGUGGGUUCGAGCCCUGCAGCCUGUG